rnacentral:rRNA from 1 species
AGGUCUCUGUCACGUACCUCCUUUCGGGGAGGCCUUAUAGGGGAGACGUCAUACAACCAGCCUGGACUGAGGUCCGCGCAUCUGCUAGGAUGCUGGCGUAAUGGCUGUAAGCGG